ensembl:snRNA U6 U6 spliceosomal RNA
GUGCUUGGCUCAGCAGCACGCCUGCUCAAAUUGAAAGGAGACAGAGAAGCUUAGCAUGGCCCCUGCACAAGGAUGACAUAUAAAUUUGUGAAGUGUUCCAUAAAAAA